rnacentral:rRNA from 1 species
AGUGAACGCUGGCGGUAGGCCUAACACAUGCAAGUCGAACGGCAGCACAGUAAGAGCUUGCUCUUACGGGUGGCGAGUGGCGGACGGGUGAGGAAUACAUCGGAAUCUACUUUUUCGUGGGGGAUAACGUAGGGAAACUUACGCUAAUACCGCAUACGACCUCCGGGUGAAAGCAGGGGAUCUUCGGACCUUGCGCGAUUGACUGAGCCGAUGUCGGAUUAGCUAGUUGGCGGGGUAAAGGCACACCAAGGCGACGAUCCGUAGCUGGUCUGAGAGGAUGAUCAGCCACACUGGAACUGAGACACGGUCCAGACUCCUACGGGAGGCAGCAGUGUGGAAUAUUGGACAAUGGGCGCAAGCCUGAUCCAGCCAUACCGCGUGGGUGAAGAAGGCCUUCUGGUUGUAAAGCCCUUUUGUUGGGAAAGAAAAGCAGCAGGUUAAUACCCCGCUGUUCUGACGGUACCCAAAGAAUAAGCACCGGCUAACUUCGUG